AGUGAACGCUGGCGGCAGGCCUAACACAUGCAAGUCGAGCGGAAGCAGGUCCUUCGGGCUUCCGUCGAGCGGCGGACGGGUGAGGAAUACAUCGGAAUCUGCCCUGUCGUGGGGGAUAAGCUAGGGAAACGUAGGCUAAUACCGCAUAGGACCGACGGGUGAAAGGGGGGGAUCGCAAGCCCCAGCGCGUCAGGAUGGCCCGAUUACCGAUUAGCUAGUUGGCGGGGUAAAGGCCCACCAAGGCGACGAUCGGUAGCUGGUCUGAGAGGAUGAUCAGCCACACUGGAACUGAGACACGGUCCAGACUCCUACGGGAGGCAGCAGUGGGGAAUAUUGGACAAUGGGCGCAAGCCUGAUCCAGCCAUGCCGCGUGGGUGAAGAAGGUCUUCGGGUUGUAAAGCACUUUUGUCCGGGAAGAAAGCGUGUGGGCUAAUACCUCGGGCUGAUGACGGUACCGGAAGAAUAAGCACCGGCUAACUUCGUG
rnacentral:rRNA from 1 species